AAAAGCUCUUCACAUCUUCGACCAUUUAGAAUGCCAAAAUAAAUACUCCCAUAGUCUGACCAAAGCUCGGACUAGGGAGUAGGGGGUAUCUGUUAGAAGUAAUUGGGAAUGGGCCAAUGAUGUAUGAAGAUUCAAGCCCAUUAUGAUCCAUUGGGUCUAUAUCCGUGCCUCUCAAGUAGCCUAAUUGUUAUGGUUUGCCUGACCCCUGAUCGGCAAAUGUCUCUCCCG
rnacentral:lncRNA from 1 species